CUCUUCCCUCCCGAGGCCCCCACCUCGCCACCACCUCCCAUUGUCCCGUCGCCCUCGAAACUCUCCCAGAGACGGGCGAGUUAUCCAGCUGUGCAGGUCUGAACUGACUUUUCCUGUGCCAGGGCUUCGCCUGAGCAGAAGCAGGAAGCUCACCUUUGCAGGGCAGCGGGCAGGUCUCCCUGCGCCAAUGGACGCCCCGUGCCGACAGACGCCCUGAGGCCUGACCCUGGCUGAGGCCAAGUGCCCAGCUCUGUGGACCCGGACGGACAGGGGCUUGGGUCCCCCCCAUUCCUUCCGAAGCCGGUUCACACCCACCCGGGCCUGGCACACGGGAGGCGCUGGCUGCAGGGUUGGGGCGGGAGCAGCGGUGGAACCUGUCGGGGCAGCUGAGUCUGGCCCCGCGGUGAUGAUUAACCCAACACCUCAACUGGCACGUCGCUGGCUCCACUUCCCGGCGACGGUUGACAAGAAAGCACCGCGUGGGGCUCUCGGAAAACAGGGACCGUCCAUUUUCACUUUUCAUUUCUUGACCUGUGGCCACGCUUCUGGGCUCAGGAGGCGCCUGGGAAUCCUGCCCUGGAACUUAGGAAGGAGGCGUCUCCCACCCGCCUGCCACACAAGUCUGCCCCUGGGUACGAGCCUCUGCCGUGUGCCCCUCAGUCUCCCAGGUGAGAAUGCAGUGGCUGACAAGCCUGGGCGGCCAGGCCAGCUCUGGCCCUGUGGGGCCACUGAGAAGGCUGGCCCUGGGUAGCCAAGAGCCUGGGGACACUGGCCCGGGGCCCUGAACCUGGCAGUGGGAGGCCAUCCCCCGGGUGGGGGCAGUGUUUGGCCCCAGCUGCAAGGGACGAGUGCCGGGUACCUGCAGCCCCCCACGCAGCCUGGCAGCAAGGAAUGGAGCUGAAAUUCGACUCUGUCUGAACGGGAAAUCUUCGUCUCCCUCAGCUCAGAAAACAGGUGAAAUUGUGUCCCUGAAGCACUGAUUUUUCUUUUUUUUUUUUUUGAGACAGAGUCUCGCUCUGCCGCCCAGGCUGGAGUGCAGUGGCCGGAUCUCAGCUCACUGCAAGCUCCGCCCCCCGGGUUCCCGCCAUUCUCCUGCCUCAGCCUCCCGUGUAGCUGGGACUACAGGCGCCCGCCACCUCGCCCGGGUAGUUUUUUGUAUUUUUAGUAGAGACGGGGUUUCACCGUGUUAGCCAGGAUGGUCUCGAUCUCCUGACCUCGUGAUCCGCCCAUCUUGGCCUCCCAAAGUGCUGGGAUUACAGGCUUGAGCCACCGCGCCCGGCCUGAAGCACUGAUUUGAUGGGAUUUUAUGGGAGCGGUGGUGAAGGCCUGUGAGGUGAUGGAAAGGGGAAGCCCGGUGCCUGGAGCCUGACAGGCUGGAGGCCUGGUGUGGGGUCUCUGGAGAGGGUCCAGGUGUGAGGGAAGCUGGGUCAGGUCCUCGGAGACGCGGCCUUUGGAGGAGGAGACUGGAACCGGGUGGACCUGGCAGCAGGCGGGGGUGGGCGGAAGCAACGUUUGUUGUGGUCGGGCAGACAGGGCCUGUGUCCCCCACAGCCUCUGUGGGUGGAAGGUGCCAGAAAUCUUGAAGAGUGGCUCUGGCCAGCUCUCUGGGCCCGGUCAGCACCCGAGUGGGGGCAGAGAAGGGGCGGGAAGGAGGACAGGAAGGAUGGUGUGUCCAGUGGGCAGGGAGCCUUGGUCUGGCCUGGGAGCUGAACCUGCCUCAGGCCCUGAGCAAGGAGGGGCCACAGGGCCGUCUACUUCCUCCUGCCCCUGCAGAGGCGGCCCGGCCCCCACAGCGUCUGAGGCUCGGCUGCCGGUGUCUGUUUGUGGCCGGUCUCCCUCUGUGCCCGGGUCAGACCCCAGACCAGCAGACACAGAAACCACAGGGACGGCUGGGCAUAGCCAGGAGCCUGCCCCGCCCCCACCCCGCCCCUGGCCCCACACCCCCACCCCUGCAC
ensembl:lncRNA